GGCUCUGUGGCGCAAUGGAUAAGCGCGUUGGACUUCUAAUUCAAAGGUUGUGGGUUCGAGUCCCACCAGAGUCG